rnacentral:rRNA from 1 species
UAGGGAAUCUUCCACAAUGGGCGGAAGCCUGAUGGAGCAACGCCGCGUGUGUGAUGAAGGGUUUCGGCUCGUAAAACACUGUUGUAAGAGAAGAAUGACAUUGAGAGUAACUGUUCAAUGUGUGACGGUAUCUUACCAGAAAGGAACGGCUAAAUACGUACCAG